rnacentral:lncRNA from 1 species
GGCUCAAAAACAUGCUGCUCACCCCUGAGUGAAGGACCAGCCGACCUGGGUUGACCUGAGUCCCACAGAAGCCACCUCUUUCCUUUCGCUCAUGGUUUUUGUAUGUGAGAUGCAAACUUUGUUGCUGGGGCUAUCUGCGUUUUCUUUAUACAUUCAAACUCUGCUGUUUUGUUGCUGUUGAUCUAUUGUUUUGUGGUGGGUGAGGGACAGUGAGGUAUCCUGAAGCUUUUACUUCACAGACAGUUCCACAGAAAUAAAAUAAGAUUCAUGCCUAUAACCCCAGCAUUUCAGAUUUGGAGGCAAGAGGAUCUCAGGAAUUCAAGGUCAUCCUUGGCUCUACAGAGAGUUCAAGGCCAGCCUAGACUAUAUGCUUCACCUCAAAGAAAACACAAAAGCAAGGCUUUCCUCGUGGCUCAGCAGAUAAGAGUGCACAGCAUGGAAACCCAAGUUCAAGUCCUCAGUACCCAUAACAUGACCAUUGCACCCAUGAACUUGCUGCUGCUAUGAUAACCUGCACAAGAUCAGGGCAGCAUGAUCAGUCAACAUUCUAACAGACAGCACUAAUUAGACUCAAUAUGAGGGGAGAGGAAGAGGGAGAGGGAGGAAGUGAAGAAGGAAGGGCUAUGUUGGGGAGGUCUCGGCAGCAUUGGAAGGGACUUAGGAGGGGUAUAAUUACAUUCAUUGUUUGCACUUGUCAAAGAAUAAAUAAAAAUGUUUUAAGAAACAA